rnacentral:rRNA from 1 species
UACGGAGGGUGCGAGCGUUACCCGGAAUCACUGGGCGUAAAGCGCACGUAGGCGGCUUGUUAAGUCAGGGGUGAAAUCCUGGAGCUCAACUCCAGAACUGCCUUUGAUACUGGCGAGCUUGAGUCCGGGAGAGGUGAGUGGAACUGCGAGUGUAGAGGUGAAAUUCGUAGAUAUUCGCAAGAACACCAGUGGCGAAGGCGGCUCACUGGCCCGGUACUGACGCUGAGGUGCGGAAGCGUGGGGAGCAAACAGG